rnacentral:lncRNA from 1 species
CAAGGCUGGAGUGCAAUGGCGCGAUCUUGGCUCCCUGCAACCUCCGCCUCCCAGGCUCAAGCAAUUCUCCUGCCUCAGCCUCCUAAGUAGCUGGGAUUACCCCUCAGGGUUCCCCUCAACUGGAGAAUGUAGAGGAGGUGUUUAGGAAGGCAGCUGCAUUUCAGCCUGUGGGAGCAGUUUUCCUUUGUGACUCUCUGGCUUCAGGCUGAACAGGGCCUGCUUGGCAUUGCACUGAGUCACAGAGAUGUUUCUGCAGUAGAAAUGCCAGUCACCCAUGGUUAGAAUAUUCCCUGCAGCGUUUU